rnacentral:lncRNA from 1 species
ACUCAGCUAGAUAAUCUAGGAAACACCAAAUAAAUAAAGCAAAGUAUUCCUGCUUUCAACAUGCUUAUAGCCUGUUAGGGAAGAUAGAAAUAAUAUGGAGUAUGGUGUAUAAGAAAAGAAGAUUAGAGAAACUAUGAUGAAUUGCUCAAUUGUGUGAUUUAGACAGCAAACAGGGAAUUAAAUUUGAAUGAUUGGAGUAUUCUUGGAUGAGUUUAUUAUGAAAAUUGAACUUUAAUUAGGGACCGGCGUGAGAGUAUGGAGGCUGAAGCCAUAGAAAGGAGAAAUUAUUCCAGCUGAGGCCAAAACAUGAACCAAGGCUGGGUCAUUGGCCUUAUCCCGCACCGAAGUUGAAACUUACACCAUCUGUUCACAUCAUCAGUUCUUCUGGUUCUCAUGCUUUUGAACUUCAACUGGCACAAUUCCACUGGCUCUCCUUAGUCUCCAGGUUGCAGAUGGCAGAUUAUAAAUCUCCUUAGCCUCCACCUUUAUAAUCCUAACUAUUACUGACACCUCUUUGAGGACAAAGGAAGUAGCUUUCUGCAAGCCAAAAAGACCUCAGAAAAACAACAAAUCUUCCAAACUCUUGAUUUUGACUUUUUGCCUCCAGAAUUGUGAAGAAAUAAAUAUCUGUUAUUUAAGUAGGCUAGUGUCUGGUAUUAUGUUAUGGCAGCCCUAGUAAACUAAUAUAGGUGUUCAUAACCAUAGGAAUAAACAAAGGAGCCAGACCUGGGUAGCACACAAACGACUUGAAAGAACGUGGAGUGAGUAGUAAGUGACUUUCCCAGGCCAUAGUAGGGCCCUUCUUCUCUUUCAAUCAUAUAAUUAGUUUUUCAGGCAUUGUUAGCGAGCUACAUGAAUAAGUAGACCCAGCAGACAUUCAUUCUUGAGACUGUAUUCCCCCAAAAGACUGAAUAUAUGGGCAGCAAACCUCAAUGAAGAGAAUAUUGAAAUAAGGCUACUCCUAUCUGUUCCACACAUCACACAUAUUGUGUUGGUUUCUAUUGCUCACCAAUUAGUUAAAACUUCAUGGACUAAGAUAAUAUUUAUUUAUGAUAUCAAAGUUUCUGUAGGUCAGAAACCCUGGCACUGGGCUGGGCGCGGUGGCUCACGCCUGUAAUCCCAGCACUUUGGGAGGCUAAGGAGGGUGGCUC